UACGUAGGGUGCAGGCGUUAAUCGGAAUUAUUGGGCGUAAAGCGUGCGCAGGCGGUUUGCUAAGACAGGUGUGAAAUCCCCGGGCUUAACCUGGGAACUGCGCUUGUAACUGGCAAGCUAGAGUGUGGCAGAGGGGGGUGGAAUUCCACGUGUAGCAGUGAAAUGCGUAGAGAUGUGGAGGAACACCGAUGGCGAAGGCAGCCCCCUGGGCUAACACUGACGCUCAUGCACGAAAGCGUGGGGAGCAAACAGG
rnacentral:rRNA from 1 species